rnacentral:rRNA from 1 species
UACGUGGAGGUGCAAGCGUUAAUCGGAAUUACUGGGCGUAAAGCGUGCGCAGGCGGUUUUGUAAGUCAGAUGUGAAAUCCCCGGGCUUAACCUGGGACUGCGUUUGAAACUACAAGGCUAGAGUGUGGCAGAGGGGGGUGGAAUUCCACGUGUAGCAGUGAAAUGCGUAGAGAUGUGGAGGAACACCGAUGGCGAAGGCAGCCCCUGGGUUAACACUGACGCUCAGGCACGAAAGCGUGGGGAGCAAACAGG